CAGAAUUUCCAGUUGCCAAGCACCCACAUUUUGAUCUCAUGGCUGUGUGUCUACUGUGACAGUUGACUUAACUUCUAGGCCCAGAAUCACCCCUGUUGUCCUUCUGUGAACUUGGCCUGAUAUUUCUUUCUUGAAGCGUGGUGCCCAAAACAGUUCACACUUAUUGAGAUGGAGUCAGACCACAGCAGAAUAAAGUGGAAUUAUUGUUUCCCGUGACUUGGAAAAUAAACUUCAAUUGAUAUGGA